CACACACACACACACACACACACACACACACACACACACACACACAUACACAUACACACACACUGGACACACAUUCAAACACACACACUGGACAAACACUGGACACACACACACACACACACUGGAAACACACUCACACACACACUGGAAACACACUCUCUCUCACACUCACACACACCAGCUAAUUCCUGUAAAUCCACAGAACUAUAAUAUAAAUGGCUCACACACACUUCAAUGGAACAUGUUAAUUGUAUGUGUCCACAUAACUGAGUAUGUCACUAAGCUUGUGAAACUGUCCUGUUAUAAUGUCCUGUUUUGGGAAGUAUAAUCCUAUGUUGCAAACCAGCUGACUCCUGUGUCCUUGUAUAGAUUUAAAGGGAAGGUAGAGUCCAACCAGCUGACUCCUGUGUCCUUGUAUAGAUUUAAAGGGAAGGUAGAGUCCAACCAGCUGACUCCUGUGUCCUUGUAUAGAUUUAAAGGGAAGGUAGAGUCAGACCAGCUGUCUCCUGUGUCCUUGUAUAGAUAAACAGGGAAGGUAGAGUCCAACCAGCUGUUUCCUGUGUCCUUGUAUAGAUAAACAGGGAAGUGAGAGUCCUGCCCAAGAACAGAUCAAGAUAUAAAGAUAUGUGCUGAUCACACAAUGCUUCUGAAUUCAGACUGUCUACGCUGUGGAACUCUGUUAUUCUCUCUGAGAUCACAAUGCUUCUGAAUUCAGACUGUCUACACUGUGGAACUCUGUUAUUCUCUCUGAGAUCACAAUGCUUCUGUAUUCAGACUGUCUACACUGUGGAACUCUGUUAUUCUCUCUGAGAUCACAAUGCUUCUGAAUUCAGUCUGUCUACGCUGUGGAACUCUGUUAUUCUCUCUGAGAUCACAAUGCUUCUGAAUUCAGACUGUCUACACUGUGGAACUCUGUUAUUCUCUUUGAGAUCACAAUGCUUCUGAAUUCAGACUGUCUACGCUGUGGAACUCUGUUAUUCUCUGAGAUCACAAUGCUUCUGAAUUCAGACUGUCUACACUGUGGAACUCUGUUAUUCUCUGAGAUCACAAUGCUUCUGUAUUCAGACUGUCUACACUGUGGAACUCUGUUAUUCUCUGAGAUCACAAUGCUUGUGAAUUCAGACUGUCUACACUGUGGAACUCUGUUAUUCUCUGAGAUCACACUGCUUCUGAAUUCAGACUGUCUACACUGUGCUGUUGAACUGUUAUUCUCUCUGAGCUCAUAAAUAAACAUUCUGGGUUUGA